ensembl:lncRNA
GCUGGACCUCUCACCCAUCCCCUGACUCUGGGAGGAAAAUGUUUAGCUGGGAAGGCAGGGUCACCACGCACUCCAGGGGCAUUACUCAGCCGGGAAACAGCCCCGCUUCCUGUUGGCAUAUUUUCCUUUGGUUUUAGUCUCAAGUCUUAUUCUGCGGGGGGAAGACCUCCUAGAAUUCUAUUUUCUUGGGGGAAUGGAAAGAAAAGCAGCCUGAUGAAUGUGGGCUCACUUAGAAACCUCAGAUCUCAGACCAAUAAGGGCUUCCAGAUGCCUCAGCAGAGGGCAGCAUGAACUUCUGUGACGCGGACUUUGUCAUUCGUUUCGUCUCCUUGCACAUGUACCAGGGGCACCGACUUCAUGCCAGCUCCAUGCUAUACAUGGAGUCAGAGAUGGAAAGGAGCGCCACAGCCCGAGAGACUCAGCCCAAGGAAAAGACGGACAGGAAAAUGAAUGAGAGCAAUUGGCUUCUGUGGAUGCUGAGAUGGAGCCUUCCUUCUGCACCAAGAAGUCUCUUCUCCCAACCCUUGAGAUCCCAGCCCACAGCCAACAUCUCCCGCAAGACAGAUGAGAGAGGAAGCCUGGAGAUGGUUACAGACCCAGCCACUAUCUGCCUAAAACCAUGUGAGAGACCCAAGUAACUACCCAGCCAAGCUCUGUAAGUCCCCAGAAAUGUGAGAAACAUUAAUAAAAUCAUCAUUUUAAGCUGCUAGGGUUUGGG